rnacentral:rRNA from 1 species
UACCAGCACCCCGAGUGGUCGGGACGUUUAUUGGGCCUAAAGCAUCCGUAGCCGGUUCUACAAGUCUUCCGUUAAAUCCAACUGCUUAACAGGUGGGCUGCGGAAGAUACUAUAGAGCUAGGAGGCGGGAGAGGCAAGCGGUACUCGAUGGGUAGGGGUAAAAUCCGUUGAUCCAUUGAAGACCACCAGUGGCGAAGGCGGCUUGCCAGAACGCACUCGACGGUGAGGGAUGAAAGCUGGGGGAGCAAACCGG